rnacentral:rRNA from 1 species
GACGAACCGUGCGAACGUUGUUCGGAAUCACUGGGCAUAAAGGGCGCGUAGGCGGCUUGUCAAGUCAGGGGUGAAAUCCGGCAGCUUAACUGUCGAAGUGCCUUUGAUACUGAUGAGCUAGAGGGAGAUAGGGGUAUGCGGAACUUCCGGUGGAGCGGUGAAAUGCGUUGAUAUCGGAAGGAACGCCGGUGGCGAAGGCGGGUCACUGGGCCGUA